rnacentral:lncRNA from 10 species
CAAGCAAUUCUCCUUCCUCAGCCCCCUGAGUAGCUGGGAUUACAGGUGUGCAUGUUUGGAUUUUUUAGUAGAGAUAGGGUUUCUCCAUGUUGGCCAGGCUGGUCUCUAACUCUUCACCUCAGGCGAUCCGCCUGCCUCAGCCUCCUAAAGUGCUGGGAUUACAGGUGUGAGCCACUGCACCCAGCCAUAUAUCCCCAAAUUUUGAUAGCUCGUUAUAAUGGUUACAUUUAUCUGACAAUACUUUUAUGUUGCCUUCACUCUUGAGGGGAUAAAAUUCUAAGCUUUUUCUUAUUACGUCAAUGAUAUUGUUCCAUUGUCUUCUGACACCUAUUGCUGUUGAAGAGGACUCUGUGUCAGUGCAAUUGUCAUUUGCGUUUCUGAAUGUCUUUGCAAAAGCAGCACUGACAGCCUUUGUUCUGGACCAACUUUUCAAGGCUGUUUGUAUGGCAAGAUAGGGAUGCUGUCUUCUUCUGGAGCAAAUGGUAGGUUUGCUCAGAGCAUUGGAGGUUAGAGAUAGUGUCUCCCUCAGAGACUUCAGCCCUCCUCAAUGAACUGAAAUUUUAAAAUUUCUUUCUUGUGUGAGAUAGGAGAUGUUUUUGAGCCCAACUUUGUCUGUUUUGGCUUGGAGCAUAGGGAAUAUCUUCUGGAUAGGAAUUUUACCAGAUUUAGAGAAAUAAUCACUUUAAUGAACUUGUCUUGAGUAUGUAUUUGCUUCCAGGUGGUCAUAUCCUUAAAUUGCAGUUGGCAUAGCAUUUUUCUAUUGAUGAUUCCAAUUUACCAAUACUAAUUUUAAUUUUAGCAGACAUAGUGUGCAUUUUUCUCCUCAAUAUUCAUUUCAGAGCAUUUACUCUAUUUUUUUUAAAUUGAACUCAUCCAGCAUUCCUUUAUUACCCAAUCUCUUGGGACAUUCAGAUCAGAAGUGAUUCUCUUCCUAAAGCCAUAGUGAUGCCAGCCCCAUUAAACGCUCCUCACACUUCCCUUUUCCCCUUACUCCUGCUAGAUAUGUUCCAUUUCCCAUUUUAUGACUUUUCACUUCUUCAAACUGCCCUUUAUUGCUAAAAGUUCCACAUUGUAAUUUGAAAAGUAGAACAGUAAAAUAUCCAUUUCUGAAUGAUCUGCUAACUACUGGGCUGUAAUUGUAUUCAAAAUUGAUAGUUGAGCUAAAACUCUAUUAUUCAACUUGAGAGAUAUUUUUGUAGCUGAUUAUUCCUGCUUAUGGCUUUACCUAGAGCUUUUAUUUUACAGUUAUAUUUUUGUACCACAUUAGAUAUUUUCCCAUCUAUUUGCACAAAGCUAGACAAAAAUGUUAACAAAGACCUAAAAGUCAUAUGUUAAACCAGAAAUAGUAUUGGAAUUAGAAAUGAUGCAGUGCAUCAUCUUUCUUUUAUUUUUUUCUGAGAUUUAUUGCUAUGGAGAAGAUUCAACCCAAGAAUAUGAUGGCUAGUACGUUUUACCAAAUUCCCCAAGAACUAAAAUUAUGAAGCUAAAACUUCUUUCAUAUACUGACUGGAAAUGAAAAGAAAAAUAUGUUCAGAUGAAUUACCUAAGUUAGAAAAAUAAAUGGCAACCGUACAGAUAAAACAUGUCUUACUUAUGGAUGUUAGAUGGGGUGUUCUCCUAGUGAGAGCUGUUUCUUCAUUUUAGUUCUUCAUCUUUCAGGUUUUUUUUUUAUAAUAGUGCACUUUAACCCAGGAAAAGUUGGGCAACUGUGUGGGAUGGCAGAGAAUUGCUGAAUAUUUUUUCCUCUAAUUAAAGGCAGGGGUUCUUAGCCUGGAAUUCAUGGAGGUCUGAGAGGUCCAUAGGCAGGUUUUGUACACAAGAGAGGCGGUAUCUUAGUUUAUUUUGAUGCUAUGACAAAAUGUCAUGGACUGCGUGAUUCAUAAGGAGCAGACUUUUAGUUCUCACAGUUCUGGAGGCUGGGAAGUCCAAGAUCAAGGCACCAGCAGAUUCAGUGUCUGGUGAGGGCCUGCUUCCUGAUUCAUAGAUUGCACUGUGGUAUCUCCCUAAGCUGACCCAUUAGAUUCUCCAGGGCAGGCUUUUACCAAGCUGGGCCCAUGGCCAUCACAUGAAUCCUGUCAAACCUUGUGCACUUGUUUUUUAAUAGGGGAAGAAGAGACUUCCUGGAAUUUCUGGAUUCUAGGACCUCCUUCCCUCACCCAAGACACCUGGAUCUGUUCUCUUGAACAAUAAGCACCAUCACUUGUCAUCAACCUGAGGGUAUCAUGCUGUCAUCUCACUAAAGCAAGCACCCAGGCGGGUGACAUCCCAGUAUUCAGAACAAAUUCCUGUCAUCUGGGACAUGGUUGGGCCAGUUUAAUCUGUGUCACCUGACCAACUCAUGCAGAACUGUUACCUCAUGCUUGGAGAUGUAGGAACAGGAAGAGUUGUGCUGGAGAUAGCAGAACAAAACUAUAGGGAAAAAUACAGAAGCCAGCCAUUAUUAUAAAAAUCAACUCACCUUAAGUAUCUAUAAUGGUUAAUUUACAUUUUCAAUGUGUUAGAAGCCCAUGUUACUGCUGGAACAUUAAGACACAUGAUAGCUUGGCUAAGUGGUCAAUGUUACAUCUAUUUAUGUAGGUAUAGAAAGCUCUAGAAGAUAUGCACCCAUCUAUUACUUGAGGAUUUUUUUUUGAGGAGGCUAGACUUUAGAGGCUUUCCACUUUCUACUUUAUUCACUUUUAAUUUAAUUUUAAAAAUUUAUAAUGAGUAUAUUUUAUUUUCUAUCAUCAGAAAAAAGUAAAAAAUACGAAGACCAGAUUGGGAAGGUGAGAUUUCACAUUUUUAUUCCUGGAGCUUACCCAGGGGUGGGUUGCUGUCAAAAUCUCUUGGGGGGUGUUUUAACACAAACAUUCCUGUCUCCCUAUCUCCUGUUGCCAGCCACUCCUGGUGAUCACUUGCAUUGCUCGGGUAGCUCGUAGCGUACCCAGGAAAGGUUCAACCUUAUGAGAACAUUCUGGAAGAGGUACUCUGGAGAAGGCUUUACCCUUGCUGGACCGCAGGGCAUCAUUUUACUUGUGGCAGUCAUCUGAGGCUUCAAACAGCUAGCUGGACCUGUGGCUAUCAUCUGGCCAUGUUCGAUGGGUGGGCUCAGACCUGUGGCUAUCAUCUGGCCAUGUUCAGUGGGUGGGCUCAGUGGAAACUUUGCCAGGGAAGAUGAAGAUUGUGGAGGAAACCGAAAGGACCAAGUAUUCCUUCUCUCUACUAGGGGAGGGACGUCAAAGCAAAAACUGGGGAGGGGCCAAAUUUGUUGGCUGACUUCAGCAGCCCUCUUUUUACUUCAUGAGAGAGAGAAUGUUGGACAUAACUUCCUGAAGUUUAGGGGCAUUUCAAGAAGAUUGGGAAAGAGCACGUCUUUGGAUCAGGAGAUUUCUGAAAGCAGGAUGCAUGCUGUGGUGCCCCAGACUAACAGCUGGAGGACUCACUUGUCCCUCUUCUCCAUGCCUGAGGAGAGCUGGACUAGGAGUCCAGAUUCAAGGUGUCAGCAG